rnacentral:rRNA from 1 species
UACGGGGGGAGCAAGCGUUGUUCGGAUUUACUGGGCGUAAAGGGCGCGUUAGGCGGUCGUGACAAGUCACUUGUGAAAUCUCCGGGCUUAACUCGGAACGGUCAAGUGAUACUGUCGGACUAGAGUACAGAAGGGGCAACUGGAAUUCUCGGUGUAGCGGUGAAAUGCGUAGAUAUCGAGAGGAACACCUGCGGCGAAGGCGGGUUGCUGGGCUGAUACUGACGCUGAGGCGCGAAAGCGUGGGAGCGAACAGG